AUGCGGCGGUGCUACGCACUCGUCACGGCAUGCCUGUGGACGCUUGUGGCGUCUAACGUGGCGUUCUGGUGGCGCAGUCCGCGCUCGGAGUCGGAGGUGGGAGGCCUAUGGCACAAGCAGGAGCUCGUGGCGCCACUGCGCUAUUCUGCUCCCCCUCCGCAGCCCAUCUUGUUUCUCUCCUCACGGGAGUGCCACAGAUCUAUCUAUACUGGCCGCCGCCUCGCGAUUGUCUUCUCCAUCUCGCUCAAGAGCCUGACCAAGAAGGGCUUGUCGAUGUCGUCGGUGCUAGUGGCGGCGGUGAUGGCUGGGGUGUUCUUCUCGGCGCUGGUGUCGACGGACACGGCGCAGCAGAUCACAAACGUGGCAGCGGCGGCGGGCGCCGAUGACAACCGUGGGCUGGUGCUGCCGCUGCCCAUCACACCGUCCAUUUAAUGUAGCAGCA
rnacentral:lncRNA from 1 species